AAAACGAAAAAAAAGACUUCUAAUCUUUACAAAGUGUUCACACUUCGUUUUU
rnacentral:tRNA from 1 species